rnacentral:rRNA from 1 species
UACGUAGGAUGCGAGCGUUGUCCGGAAUUAUUGGGCGUAAAGAGAACGUAGGCGGUUUCUUAAGUUUGGGCUUAAAGACCGGGGCUCAACCCCGGGAAUGGCUCGAAAACUGGGAGACUGGAGGAUGUCAGAGGAAAGUGGAAUUCCGAGUGUAGCGGUGAAAUGCGUAGAUAUUCGGAGGAACACCAGUGGCGAAAGCGACUUCUGGGACAUUCCUGACGCUGAGGUUCGAAAGCUCGGGGAGCAAACAGG